AAUUUAGUGACAUUGAUGAAGUUAAUGUAGAAUGAUCACUUUCUUUUCAUUUUAAACGCAUUGGAAUAUCUGUUUCUUCUAUGUUUUUAUUCCUUGUAUACAGAUCCCAAUAAAGAGAGAAGCUGAUAUAAGCGUAAAUCCAGUCCUAAAUUCAGACAGGAUCUGGAUGAAGGCCUACUCAAAGAACUUCAGCGUGGCUCUUCUCACAUCUGUCCUAAUGAAGCACCCUGCCAGCAAAUGAAAUUAUAACUGCCGUGAGUCACACUGUGAGUCACAUAGGUUGCCACGGCAACCUGCUAACUAUAUCACCAAAGCACCUUCCAUUAGCUUUGCCAAGAAUGGUUCCUGAGUUUUCCUGGACUGUGAAAACAAUGCGGGUGAGCCCCAAGUUUGGGGUUGCUAAGAGUCUACAAUAAAAAAGUGUGGUCUUACGGAAAGGAAAAAAAAAA